rnacentral:rRNA from 1 species
UCAUUAUAUGUUUUCUGCUUUAUGUGCGCAUCCUCUACCUAUUAAGUGUUAAUUAAAAUUAAAGGGUUUCUUUUUAAAAUCUUCUAUAACUAAUAAAAAAUAUGGAAGAUUUUGUUACUUUGAGUAAAUUAGAGUGUUCAAAGCAAACAGAUAUAUAGCAUUUGUGCGUUUGAAUACUACAGCAUGGAAUAACAAAAUUGAACAGGUCAAAACUAUGUUUCUUUUUUUUUAUUUUUGGCUUAGUUACGAUUAAUAGGAGUAGUUUGGGGACAUUUGUAUUCAGAUGUCAGAGGUGAAAUUCUAAGAUUUUCUGGAGACAAACAACUGCGAAGGCAUUUGUCUAAAAUACUUCCAUUAAUCAAGAACGAAAGUUAAGGGAGUGAAGACGAUCAGAUACCGUCGUAAUCUUAACCAUAAACUAUACCGACUAGGUUUUGGAUGAAAGUAAAACAAAUAAGGAUAGUCUCUUCGGGGAUAGUUCUUAGAUUUCUUCCUUCAGUACCUUAUGAGAAAUCAAAGUCUUUGGGUUCUGGGGCGAGUAUUCGCGCAAGCGAGAAAGUUAAAAGAAUUGACGGAAGGGCACCACCAGGCGUGGAGCUUGCGGCUUAAUUUGACUCAACACGGGAAAACUCACUAGUUUAAGACAAGAGUAGGAUUGACAGAUUAAUAGCUCUUUCUUGAUUUCUUGGAUGGUGAUGCAUGGCCGUUUUUAGUUCGUGAAUAUGAUUUGUCUGGUUAAUUCCGAUAACGAACGAGAUCUUAACCUGCUAAUUAGCAGUAAGUACAACAUAUUUCUAUGCUGAAUUUGUAUUUGGAUAAUUUAAAAGGUUUUUUUGCCGUGCAUAUAAUGAGUACGGAAAAAAUGCAUACUGCUACCUUGUACCUAAUAAUACUUGGCGCCUAUGCAUAUUUCCAACCCUCUAUUCCCUGUACCGCAUAAAACUGGAUUAUGAUGCCAUUUCACUUUUAUGUAGAAAUGUAUUUGCUUUUACAUAAAGC